rnacentral:rRNA from 1 species
AAGUCGUAACAAGGUCUCCGUUGGUGAACCAGCGGAGGGAUCAUUACUGAGUACUACACUCUCUACCCUUUGUGAACUAUUAUACCUGUUGCUUCGGCGGCGCCCGCAAGGGUGCCCGCCGGUCUCAUCAGAAUCUCUGUUUUCGAACCCGACGAUACUUCUGAGUGUUCUUAGCGAACUGUCAAAACUUUUAACAACGGAUCUCUUGGCUCCAGCAUCGGUGAAGAACGCAGCGAAACGCGAUAUGUAAUGUGAAUUGCAGAAUUCAGUGAAUCAUCGAAUCUUUGAACGCACAUGGCGCCUUCCAGUAUCCUGGGAGGCAUGCCUGUCCGAGCGUCGUUUCAACCCUCGAGCCCCUGUGGUCCGGCGUUGGGGAUCUGCCACGGCAGGCCCCUAAAACCAGUGGCGGACCCGAAGGGCCCUCUCCUUUGCGCAGUAGCAUUCGCCUCGCAUCGGGAGUCCUCGGCGUCCUGCCUCUAAACCCCCACAAGCCCGCUUCGGCGGCACCAAGGUUGACCUCGGAUCAGGUAGGAAUACCCGCUGAACUUAA